AUCGGGGUUGCGGACAGUGUCUGGUGGGUAGUUUGACUGGGGCGGUCUCCUCCCAAAGAGUAACGGAGGAGCACGAAGGUUAGCUAAUCCUGGUCGGACAUCAGGAGGUUAGUGCAAUGGCAUAAGCUAGCUUGACUGCGAGCGUGACGGCGCGAGCAGGUGCGAAAGCAGGUCAUAGUGAUCCGGUGGUUCUGAAUGGAAGGGCCAUCGCUCAACGGAUAAAAGGUACUCCGGGGAUAACAGGCUGAUACCGCCCAAGAGUUCAUAUCGACGGCGGUGUUUGGCACCUCGAUGUCGGCUCAUCACAUCCUGGGGCUGAAGUAGGUCCCAAGGGUAUGGCUGUUCGCCAUUUAAAGUGGUACGCGAGCUGGGUUUAGAACGUCGUGAGACAGUUCGGUCCCUAUCUGCCGUGGGCGCUGGAGAAUUGAGGGGGGCUGCUCCUAGUACGAGAGGACCGGAGUGGACGCAUCACUGGUGUUCGGGUUGUCAUGCCAAUGGCACUGCCCGGUAGCUAAAUGCGGAAGAGAUAAGUGCUGAAAGCAUCUAAGCACGAAACUUGCCCCGAGAUGAGUUCUCCCUGAGACUUUAAGUCUCCUGAAGGAACGUUGAAGACGACGACGUUGAUAGGCCGGGUGUGUAAGCGCAGCGAUGCGUUGAGCUAACCGGUACUAAUGAACCGUGAG
rnacentral:rRNA from 1 species